rnacentral:rRNA from 1 species
AUGGAGAACGCGGCGUCCAUCGUGAGCAAGUUCGGGCAGGCGCUGGUGGAGGAGCUCCAGGAGAUCCGCGGGGUCGGCAACAAGAUCGUCCACCUCAGGGACGAGCUGUCCUCCAUGAACGCCGUGCUCCGCAUGCUGGCCGAGGCCGACGACGACUGCGUCGAUCACCUCGUCCGAGAGUGGACGAAACAGGUGCGCGAGCUUGCUUCCGACGCCGAGGACUGUGUGGAUAUCUACAAGCUCCGCGUCAGGCGCCCUCUGCCACGACUGCCCGUCGACCCCGGCGCGCCGUUCAACUGCGCCAGGCGUUUACUCGGGCACGCCAGGCUCCUACCUGCCAUUGUCCGGCAUCAGUUUUUGAAGCUUUACUUGAAGCGUUGCCUCGCCGCCGAUCUGCCAGAACUCCUCGAUCGGAUGGUCAUCAUCAACGAACGGCGCGCUCGUUACGGCGUCGACCAGGAGGCACUACGCAGAUCGGCCACCUUUGCCACUGUGUCACCGGCCACCGUGUCUGCCCGUGCACUUCGCCCGUCAAACGACCACGACCAGUUCAUCGGCCUGACGGAUCAGGUCAACGCCCUGGCCGACAAAUUGAGGUCAGGGGAUGACAAAGAUAUGAAGGUCUUCUCCAUCGUUGGGUUUGGAGGGCUCGGAAAAACUACGCUCGCCAUGGAAGUGUGUCGGGAGCUAGAGGUGGACUUCCCACACCAAGCCCAAGCGUCCGUGUCCCAGGCAUUUGAUGGUGGAAAGGACCUGGAGGGAUUGCUUAAGCGCAUGCUUCAUCAGAUGGCGAAGCAGAAAUCCGAUAACAAGGAUGGCAUCAAGGAAGAAGACGUUGCUGGCAUCGACGGUAUGGAUGUGCCCGGGCUGACCGGCAAGCUCCAAGAUCUUCUCCGUGACAAGAGGUACCUCAUAGUGAUCGAUGAUGUAUGGACCAUACCAGCAUGGGACGCUAUCCGCUCCAUAUUGCCAACUGACAAUAAAUACAAAAGCAGAAUAAUUGUGACGACUCGGGUGGACUCGGUGGCGAAAGCUUGCAGCUCAGUUAGUGCGGCUUUAAGGGACUAUUUUGUCCAUGAAAUGAAGCCGCUGGAAAAAGAAGUGUCUAAGCAGUUGUUCAUCAAUAGAGUGUUUGGCCCUGAGGGUGCCUGCCCCGAAGAACUGAAAUCCAGCAUGUUGAAUAUCUUGAGGAAGUGCGGUGGGUUGCCAUUGGCGAUUGUUAGCAUGGCCAGUCUUUUGGCUAGCUACAAGUCGCCAGGAAGCAAGGAUAUGUGGGACAAAAUAUGCAACUCCAUCGGUUCUCAACUGGAGAGCAACCCUACCUUGGAAGGGAUGAGGCAGAUAGUUACACUCAGUUACAGCCACCUGCCUCACCAUCUCAAGACUUGCAUGAUGUAUCUCAGUAUUUUUCCAGAGGACUAUGAAAUCAAGAAGAAACGGCUACUAAGUAGAUGGAUAGCAGAAGGUCUGGUCGCCGAGAAGCGGGGGCUGACAUUGCUAGAGGUGGCAGAAUCCUACUUCGAUGAGUUGGUGAGUAGAAACAUGAUCGUCCCAGCCAACAUAAGCUAUGAUGGGAGGGUGAAGUCAUGCCGCGUGCACGAUAUGAUGCUCGAGGUUAUGGUGUCAAGGUCCAUGGAGGCAAACUUUGUGAGCCUGGUUGGAGGUGAACAGCACGAAGGAGAGUCGCUUGGCAAGAUCCGGCGGCUCUCUAUCCAAAGCAGUGGUGGGCCAAAGGACGAAAGGAGCAUGAAGCAUGUCCGGUCGCUCAGCACGUUUCAUCCUGAAGGGCACCACCAGCUGCUGGAGAGACUAGGCGAUUUUACCCUCCUACGGGUACUCGACCUUGAAGACUGCAAAGCCUUGCAAAACAAACACAUGAAGCAUGUGUGCCGGAUGUUUCUGCUCAGGUUCUUGAACUUGAACGGCACUGACAUCAGCAAGAUGCCAAAAAAGAUCGGCAAGCUUGUGCACUUGCAGACACUGAGCCUAAGGAACACACUUCUCCAUUACCUCCAUCAAUCCGUGACGGAGCUGGAGAAGCUCGAGUCCCUCUACUUCCUUAAGAGGGCGUCGUAUGAGGGCUGGAGGCUUCCCUGUGGACUAGGGAGAAUGAAGGCGCUUCGCGUGAUGGAUAAGAUGGCGCUCUAUGAUGAUGAUGAUUCUGACGCUGCCCGAGAGAUCGGCGAGUUGACGCAGUUGAGAAAGCUUAAUAUAACUGUCAACUGCUCCCAAGAGGUACUUCAAGUGCUCAUCACCGCCCUGAACAGGACAUAUUCCCUUCGACAACUCUCAAUCUUCGACCGCGGUGAUGGGAAGAUAAUGAACAUCCUCGGAGAGAUGACCUCGCCACCGCUGCUCCUCCGGUCCAUGAAGUUGCGGGGCGAAAUCGAUGGGAUGCCCGAGUGGAUUGGGUCACUCAUGCACGUUGUCAAGCUACAUAUCACAUUUAGAAUGCUUAGCUGCGACGAGAUACUUGGCAUCCUGUGUGAGUUGCCAAACCUACUGCGCCUCACCCUCGCGUACAGGAGCUGCAUCAAUGAUGCGCUAGUCAUAAGCGCCAAGUACCGAUUCCCAGUGCUCAAGCAGCUGAGUGUUGACAAACCCUUCUCUCGAGAAGAAAUCAUUUUUGAGCAAGGGUCCAUGGCAAUGCUCGAGAAGCUGGAGGUAGGAUUCGGUUAUCAGGAAACGAGCCUUUCCAGCAUCGAGCAUUUGCCAAGUCUAAAGGUGGUGGUGCUCGUUUGUUUCAGAUCCAACCGUACACUGAAUCAGACGGUGCUGCAGCUCAAGUUGGAGAGCGACCGACGCCCCGUGCCAAAUCAGUUCAAAGUUGUAGCAAGGUACGUCAGGGAAGGGUUAUAA